rnacentral:rRNA from 1 species
GACGAACGCUGGCGGCGUGCUUAACACAUGCAAGUCGAGCGGUAAGGCUCCUUCGGGAGUACACGAGCGGCGAACGGGUGAGUAACACGUGAGCAACCUGCCCUUCACACGGGGAUAACCCUCGGAAACGAGAGCUAAUACCCGAUACGACCACUUCAGGCAUCUGAUGGUGGUGGAAAGUUCCGGCGGUGAAGGCUGAGCUCGCGGCCUAUCAGCUUGUUGGUGGGGUAACGGCCACCAAGGCAACGACGGGUAGCCGGCCUGAGAGGGUGACCGGCCACACUGGGACUGAGACACGGCCCAGACUCCUACGGGAGGCAGCAGUGGGGAAUAUUGGACAAUGGGCGAAAGCCUGAUCCAGCAACGCCGCGUGAGGGAUGACGGCUUUCGGGUUGUAAACCUCUUUCAGCAGGGACGAAGCGCAAGUGACGGUACCUGCAGAAGAAGCACCGGCCAACUACGUGCCAGCCGCCGCCGUAA